CCUACGGGAGGCAGCAGUGGGGAAUCUUGCGCAAUGGGGGAAACCCUGACGCAGCAACGCCGCGUGGGUGAUGAAGGCCUUCGGGUCGUAAAGCCCUGUCAGGUGGGAAGAAACUUGUGGAUGUUAAUACCAUCCAUGCUUGACGGUACCACCGGAGGAAGCACCGGCUAACUCCGUGCCAGCAGCCGCGGUAAUACGGAGGGUGCAAGCGUUGUUCGGAAUUAUUGGGCGUAAAGCGCGUGUAGGUGGUCGUGUAAGUCAGAUGUGAAAGUCUUCUGCUUAACAGAAGAAGUGCAUUUGAAACUGCUCGACUAGAGUACGGGAGAGGAGAGUGGAAUUCCCGGUGUAGAGGUGAAAUUCGUAGAUAUCGGGAGGAACACCAGUGGCGAAGGCGGCUCUCUGGUCCGAUACUGACGCUGAGACGCGAAAGCGUGGGGAGCAAACAGGAUUAGAUACCCUGGUAGUCCACGCCGUAAACGAUGGGCACUAGGUGUAGGAGGUAUUGACCCCUUCUGUGCCGAAGCUAACGCAUUAAGUGCCCCGCCUGGGGAGUACGGCCGCAAGGCUAAAACUCAAAGGAAUUGACGG
rnacentral:rRNA from 1 species